rnacentral:rRNA from 1 species
GAAUUGUUCGCAAUGGGCGCAAGCCUGAUCUAGCCAUGCCGCGUGAGUGAUGAAGGUCUUAGGAUCGUAAAGCUCUUUCGCCAGGGAUGAUAAUGACAGUACCUGGUAAAGAAACCCCGGCUAACUCCGUGCCAGCAGCCGCGGUAAUACGGAGGGGGUUAGCGUUGUUCGGAAUUACUGGGCGUAAAGCGCGCGUAGGCGGAUCAGAAAGUUGGGGGUGAAAUCCCAGGGCUCAACCCUGGAACUGCCUCCAAAACUACUGGUCUAGAGUUCGAGAGAGGUGAGUGGAAUUGUGAGUGUAGAGGUGAAAUUCGUAGAUAUUCACAGGAACACCAGUGGCGAAGGCGGCUCACUGGCUCGAUACUGACGCUGAGGUGCGAAAGUGUGGGGAGCAAACAGG